UGUAAGCGUAUACCAAAGUUGUUGCAGUUAAAAAGCUCGUAGUUGAAUUUUUGCUUGCCGCCGAUGUCGGAACUUCCGUACGUUCGGCGGCGUGCAUCCUUGGGUGGAACCUGUGUGGCAUUAGGUUGUCGUGCAGGGGAUGCUCAUCGUUUACUGUGAAAAAAUUAGAGUGUUCAAAGCAGGCUUACGCCGUUGAAUAUAUUAGCAUGGAAUAAUAAGAUAGGACCUUGGUACUAUUUUGUUGGUUUGCGCACCGAGGUAAUGAUUAACAGGGACAGUUGGGGGUAUUCGUAUUCCAUUGUCAGAGGUGAAAUUCUUGGAUUUCUGGAAGACGAACUACUGCGAAAGCAUUUACCAAGGAUGUUUUCAUUAA
rnacentral:rRNA from 1 species